AACGCACACGAGAAAAUCAAUUGUACUGACGAACUGUCGAGCUUUCGCGUGCAUAAAAGCCGAUACCCCAAUACUGACUGUACGCUUCGUCGUCUGCUACGCGAUCACGUGUGGUGUUUGUGUACAGGACCCAGGAGUGACGUUACAUUUGUGAAAGCGAGAUUGGGCUUGAGGUGACGUCACAGGAUGGACGUUUUGCCUAAAGAAAGUCAGGAAUGGUUGCAUGGUUUUCCCGAUAAAUGUGGUUGUGGUGGAAUACGGCCUUGGGAGCAAGCCUAGCCACGUGUGAUUUUGCCACGGAGGUGCCAAUAUAAUGGGACACAAACUCCAAGUUGAGAAAAGAGCGGUGAAGAAGCAAAGUGGAGGGGGAAGAAGCAAAGUGGAGGGGGAAGAAGCAAAGUGGAGGGGAAGAAGCAAAGUGGAGGGGAAGAAGCAAAGUGGAGGGGAAGAAGCAAAGUGGAGGGGAAGAAGCAAAGUGGAGGGGGAAGAAGCAGCGGGUUGGGACACUUCAUAAAGAUUUAUUGCGUGUGAUGACCGCUGGGAAAAACUCGCGAAAUUCCCCUACAGACACUUACAGAUCGUUCCCUACCUCUGAGAGCCGGCAAGGUAAGAAUAGUUACCUGCAAAAGAAGCUUUAUUAAACUUAUUAAAUUGACCAUCAACCUUUAUUUUACUUGUCAGCCUAUUUAUUUUACUGGUAAGUACUCUGUCAACUUAUUAUUCUAAUGGCAAGUAAUCUUUGCUGUUACAUUCUUUCGAGAAUUGAUUGUAAUUUCAACAAAUAAAAAAAAAAAAAAAAAAAUUC